rnacentral:rRNA from 1 species
UGGGGAAUUUUGGACAAUGGGCGAAAGCCUGAUCCAGCAAUGCCGCGUGUGUGAAGAAGGCCUUCGGGUUGUAAAGCACUUUUGUCCGGAAAGAAAUCCUUGGCUCUAAUACAGUCGGGGGAUGACGGUACCGGAAGAAUAAGCACCGGCUAACUACGUGCCAGCAGCCGCGGUAAUACGUAGGGUGCAAGCGUUAAUCGGAAUUACUGGGCGUAAAGCGUGCGCAGGCGGUUUGCUAAGACCGAUGUGAAAUCCCCGGGCUCAACCUGGGAACUGCAUUGGUGACUGGCAGGCUAGAGUAUGGCAGAGGGGGGUAGAAUUCCACGUGUAGCAGUGAAAUGCGUAGAGAUGUGGAGGAAUACCGAUGGCGAAGGCAGCCCCCUGGGCCAAUACUGACGCUCAUGCACGAAAGCGUGGGGAGCAAACAGGAUUAGAUACCCUGGUAGUCCACGCCCUAAAACGAUGUCAACUAGUUGUUGGGGAUUCAUUUCCUAGUAACGUAGCUAACGCGUGAAGUUGACCGCCUGGGGAGUACGGUCGCAAGAUUAAAACUUAAAGGAAUUGACGGGGUCAUGCUGUUUCCU